rnacentral:rRNA from 1 species
GACGAACGCUGGCGGCGUGCCUAAUACAUGCAAGUCGAACGAAGCUGUUUUAACUGGUGCUUGCACCGACUUAAACAACUGAGUGGCGAACGGGUGAGUAACACGUGGGUAACCUGCCCCAAAGCGGGGGAUAACAUUUGGAAACAGAUGCUAUACCGCAUAAUCACAGAAACCACAUGGUUUCUGUGUCAAAGAUGGUUUCGGCUAUCACUUUGGGAUGGACCCGCGGCGUAUUAGCUAGUUGGUAAGGUAAUGGCUUACCAAGGCAAUGAUACGUAGCCGAACUGAGAGGUUGAUCGGCCACAUUGGGACUGAGACACGGCCCAAACUCCUACGGGAGGCAGCAGUAGGGAAUCUUCCACAAUGGACGAAAGUCUGAUGGAGCAACGCCGCGUGAGUGAAGAAGGUUUUCGGAUCGUAAAACUCUGUUGUCAGAGAAGAACGUGUGCGAGAGUAACUGUUCGUGCAGUGACGGUAUCUGGCCAGAAAGCCACGGCUAACUACGUGCCAGCAGCCGCCGUAA